GGCUCGCGCUGGCUUGGGGCCUCGCGCAUGCGCGCCGGCCGGCCUGCCCGCCCUCUCUCAGAGGCCUCAGGGCCCUGGAAGUGACCAGGUCCUGCCUGGACCCCAGUUGGAAGGGGAAAGGCCAACUGGUAGAAGUUGUCUUCAUGCUCCUUUUGACCCCAUCCUGGCGCUUCCUCUCCUCUCGUCGUCGUCGACCUCCUCCUCCUCCUCC